rnacentral:lncRNA from 1 species
GGACUCAAGAUAGAGGGACUGAAUACACAUUAACUAUACCUAGAAGUUUAUUUCAGUUUUACAAGAUUAACACUACAUACUGUGUUGCCUAGAAAUGGAGCCCAAAAGGGGGGAUGAAUUGGGUCUUUUUGAAAUUUUAAAAGAUUAGUGCACUAAAACAAUGUACAAAAGAGAUCGAGUGAAGUGGGUUAAUAUUCAAUAAAAAUAAAUUCAAACAUAAAAAAAAGAAUGCAAAUAAAUGGCACAAAGAACAAGUAAAGAGAAGUAAGUACAGCAAACACAAGAAUUUAUAGUGGUUCGGUGCCAAUCUUGUACCUACAUCUAUUCCCCAAGUCUCUAUUUGGGAAUUCAAUCCACUAAACAGAUUCAAAGUUACAACACAUCGGAUACUUCGAUCCUUGCUAUCUAAAAAAUAACACUUAUUUCUUGGGUACAAGCCAACCCUCAAUAAUUCGAUUCAGGGUUCGGAUCAAUCCAAACAAGUUUUGGAACCUUCCAAAACUCAAAAAUCCAAAUACAAUUUUAGAAAAAUAGAGUACAAAAAAUUCAGCACACAAUCUCUUUAAAUAGAUAUAAUAAAUAUAAAAUAAAUAUAAUACUCAAGGAGA